rnacentral:rRNA from 1 species
UAGAGUUUGAUCAUGGCUCAGGAUGAACGCUAGCGGCAGGCUUAACACAUGCAAGUCGAGGGGCAUCGGGAGGAAAGCUUGCUUUCCUUGCCGGCGACCGGCGCACGGGUGAGUAACACGUAUGCAACCUGCCCUCUUCAGGGGGACAACCUUCCGAAAGGGAGGCUAAUCCCGCGUAUAUCGGUUUCGGGCAUCCGAGAUCGAGGAAAGAUUCAUCGGAAGAGGAUGGGCAUGCGGCGCAUUAGCUUGACGGCGGGGUAACGGCCCACCGUGGCGACGAUGCGUAGGGGUUCUGAGAGGAAGGUCCCCCACACUGGUACUGAGACACGGACCAGACUCCUACGGGAGGCAGCAGUGAGGAAUAUUGGUCAAUGGGAGAGAUCCUGAACCAGCCAAGCCGCGUGAGGGAAGACGGCCCUAUGGGUUGUAAACCUCUUUUGUCGGAGAACAAAACCCGGGACGUGUCCCGGACUGCGUGUAUCCGAAGAAAAAGCAUCGGCUAACUCCGUGCCAGCAGCCGCGGUAAUACGGAGGAUGCGAGCGUUAUCCGGAUUUAUUGGGUUUAAAGGGUGCGUAGGCGGUCCGUUAAGUCAGCGGUAAAAUUGCGGGGCUCAACCCCGUCGAGCCGUUGAAACUGGCAGACUUGAGUUGGCGAGAAGUACGCGGAAUGCGCGGUGUAGCGGUGAAAUGCAUAGAUAUCGCGCAGAACUCCGAUUGCGAAGGCAGCGUACCGGCGCCAGACUGACGCUGAGGCACGAAAGCGUGGGGAUCGAACAGGAUUAGAUACCCUGGUAGUCCACGCAGUAAACGAUGAAUGCUGGUUGUCCGGGUCGAAUGAGAUCUGGGCGGCGAAGCGAAAGCGAUAAGCAUUCCACCUGGGGAGUACGCCGGCAACGGUGAAACUCAAAGGAAUUGACGGGGGCCCGCACAAGCGGAGGAACAUGUGGUUUAAUUCGAUGAUACGCGAGGAACCUUACCCGGGCUCAAACGGGAGCGGAAUGGACCAGAGACGGUUCAGCCUACGGGCCGCUUCCGAGGUGCUGCAUGGUUGUCGUCAGCUCGUGCCGUGAGGUGUCGGCUUAAGUGCCAUAACGAGCGCAACCCCCGCCGGCAGUUGCUAACGGGCAAUGCCGAGGACUCUGCCGGGACUGCCGCCGCAAGGCGAGAGGAAGGCGGGGAUGACGUCAAAUCAGCACGGCCCUUACGUCCGGGGCGACACACGUGUUACAAUGGGCGGUACAGCGGGAAGCCAGGCGGCGACGCCGAGCGGAACCCGAAAGCCGUUCUCAGUUCGGAUCGGAGUCUGCAACCCGACUCCGUGAAGCUGGAUUCGCUAGUAAUCGCGCAUCAGCCAUGGCGCGGUGAAUACGUUCCCGGGCCUUGUACACACCGCCCGUCAAGCCAUGGGAGCCGGGGGUGCUUGAAGUGCGUCGCCGCGAGGCGCGCCCUAGAGCAAAACCGGUGACUGGGGCUAAGUCGUAACAAGGUAACCGUA